rnacentral:lncRNA from 1 species
CUUGAGUACUAGAUACUUAGGGUCGGCACUCGUCAGUCGCUUACUUCGAAAACAAACUACGAUGGCAUGUAGUUUGAGAUAACCAUAAUGGCUCGGGACUAUUUUUAUCUAGUCUCGGGCCGGUCCGAUUUCGGCUGAUUUCGGACAUACUGAAGAAAGCGUACACAAGUUCUAUUGGCUAGAGGGGUUGUUUUGUCCUUACAAAGCGGCCGCGCAGCCACACAUGGGAAUGUGUGCUAGCAGAGUGAGGAUAGACACCCUGACG